UACAGAGUGCCGAGCGUUGUUCGGAUUCAUUGGGCGUAAAGGGUGCGUAGGCGGUUUGCUAAGUUUGAUGUGAAAUCCCGGGGCUUAAACCCCAGGACGUGCAUUGAAUACUUGGCGGACUAGAGUACUGGAGAGGAAACUGGAAGUUUAGCGGUGUAGCAGUGAAAUGCGUAGAGAUCGUAAGGAAGACCAGUGGCGAAGGCGAGUUUCUGGACAGUUACUGACGCUGAGGCACGAAGGCCAGGGGAGCAAAACGGG
rnacentral:rRNA from 1 species